CCUGUCUUCUCUGCCCCUACCCUACAGUGGCAUUCAGGAGGAGCCUCUCACAGCCACAGUCGAUGAUGUGUCGAGCAGUGACUGCGGCUGUGGAGAGGAGCCAGGCUGACAUCACUUGGAACAGUCAUCCGGAAAGGAUUGGUCAUCGACUAGGAGACAAAAGACCCACUGCAUGGCAAGCAGAACCACUGUUAUUUUCUCUUGGAAUUGAAGCUGUACAAUAAUCAAACUGUACGAAUUUCCUGAAAAAGGUACUGUACCUUUACAACUGUUCCAACAUAUGAAGCAGUCGAGGCAGCACUUGGUAUAUAAAAUCAGCAUACAGCAGG